rnacentral:lncRNA from 12 species
CAGCAGGAUGCUGAUGAGUGCCCCCCGCCCUGGCACAGAGGAGGCGGGUCCACAGGCACUGAUGUGAUCUGAAUCUUCAGCUGCCCAUCUUCACUGGCUAACCUCUCUCUACAGGAACGUGGUCCCCUCCUCCAUGUCCUCCAGGAACCUUCACUCCUCAAGAUGUGUCAGGCCUCCGGGAAGAGGCUGACUGUUCUGUCUGUCGCCCUGGUGACUACUGCAGGGGACCCGGCCCCCCGCCCCUGCCCUGCUGGCCACUACUGCCCCGGAGGGAAUGAGACGAGCACAGGAGCCCCCCAGGCCUGCCCUGAGCACACCUAUCUGGCUGCGGAAGGAGGCGAGAGUCUGGCAGAGUGCCUCCCUUGCCCUCCUGGGUA